ACGUAGGAGGCAAGCGUUAUCCGGAGUUACUGGGCGUAAAGCGCAUGUAGGCGGUUAUCCAAGUGGUGUGUGAAAGCGCCCGGCUAAACUGGGCGAGGACACAUCAGACUGGAUGGCUAGAGGGUGUUAGAGGGGCGCAGAAUUCGGGGUGUAGCGGUGAAAUGUGUAGAGAUCCCGAGGAAUACCAGUGGGGAAGCCGGCGCCCUGGGACACUGUCGCAAGACCCAUCGCAAGAUGGCUGACGCUGAGAUGCGAAAGCGUGGGGAGCGAACGGGA
rnacentral:rRNA from 1 species